AGUAGCACCUUAGAGACCAACUAAGUUUUUUCCGGGUAUAAGCUUUCGUGUGCAUGCACACUUCUUCAGAUACCUGCAUGCACACGAUAGCUUAUACCAAGAACAAAUUUAGUUGGUCUCUAAGGUGCUACGGGACAAUUUUUUUAUUUUUAUAUAU